AUCCAGUUGACGAGUCCCAAAUAGGACAAGACGCGCGUUCUGGAU
rfam:Schistosoma mattheei strain Denwood, Zambia genome assembly, scaffold: SMTD_scaffold0000596